rnacentral:lncRNA from 1 species
UACAGCUACAGAACGACAGCAAGAGUAAAAAGUCAACUGAACUGGAAACUAUAUCUUUUUCACCUCACCAAUGAGAGGAAGAUCACUUCAUCAACAUUUAACAGUCCAGUACAUCGGCAAGGCACGCAGGAUACAACAACAAGAAUGAUAUCGCCCAGAUUUCUGGCAAUAAUCCUCCUACCAAGACCACACAAACCUGACACAUGACAACCGAACUGCGGUUUCCAAAAAUUAGACAGCACCUGCCAGCCACGCCGCCGGCCCAUCGCCCUUUCUUCUAGGGAAGCAGGGCAGCUCAAGGCAGAUUACAAACAUCACCAGACUACCAGAGAGAGAGUCACUGGCUGGGACUCUGUCGGAAAACUGUACACUGACCAGAGGCAAGAAUCGACGGGGGGCGAAUCAGCGAAUGGCAUUCCCCCUAGCCUCUGUCUCAUCAAGUCUAAAAAACCGAAGCUAACAGUUGGUCUAACGCUAGUUUAUCAAAUCAAUGGCGAGGCCGCCGCCCAUGCUCGCUGAAGCUGCCUCUUGACCAGUGAGACGGGGAGAGCUUCCUGAUUUGCAGAGGGGCUGAUCUACUCUGGGAUGCUGGUUUUUGUACACGGCCGCCCGUCGAUGCUGCCGAGUAAGGGCCACCUUCACGCUCCUGCCUCGCUUCUAUUCGGCCAGAGCUGUACUCCAUGUUUAUGAAUGGCGAAGGGUUCCGGUAGUCCAGGCACCCGGAAGCUCCGCUGUUCCACCAGCUGCCGCUACCACUGUCAAAGAUGAAGCCCGCCGGGAGGUCGUCGUCCGGGUCACAUGAUGACUCCCUGUGGCUGUAGGAAUCACCGACGGCCUCCUCUGCAUCAUUGUAAAUCAGCUUCAGUGCCUGGACUACUUCACCCAUGAACGGCCUCUGUGACGGAUCGCUGUGAACGCACACCGAAGCGAUGGACGCCACUUUGGCUACGUUGUCGAAUUUGUAGUUGCCGUUCAGAGAAGGGUCGAUCAGCCUCUCCAAGCCGUCUCUAUUGCCUAGAAGAGGACGAGCCCAAGUCACAAGGUUCUCAGGAUCCAUGUUGUCGGAGAUGCCUACGGGCUUCCUUCCUGAUAAAAGCUCCAGCAAGACAACCCCAUAACUGUAGACAUCGCUCUUGACAAGAAGAUGCCCUGUCAUGGCAUACUCUGGAGCAACAUACCUGCAUGAUCAACAGAGAAAUUUUAGCUUUUGAAAGCCAAGGAUAAUUAGAAUGGAAUUAAGACAAGCUACUCUUGAGCAAAUUUAUGUACCGAAAUUCAUAUAGCUUUAGAGAAGUGUAAUUCAUGAACGACCCCCUACCAAGCAUUAUUGUUGUUUGACAUGAAGACAUUCUUACAAUAUCAACAAAUGUGUAUGGAAGGCAGUAUUAAUCACAAAGAGACACAAAAUCAUUCGAUCACAGCAUCACAAAAUACCAAAAGAAUAGGUGCUAUAUAUAUCAUUUAUUUUCAUUAAUAGUGUGUAUUGACGAUAUUAUAGGGGCUGGACAUAAGCGAAGUUUCUUACCCGAAAGUGCCCAUUACCCUUGUGGAAAUGGGAUUGAUUCCAUUGGUUGCUUCCCUUGCUAAUCCAAAAUCGGUAACCUUGGGAGUGAAAUCAUCCUCCAGCAAUAUAUUGCUACCUUUGAAGUCGCGGUGUAUGACAUGUGGGUUUGAAUCUUCAUGUAGGUACGCCAGGCCUCUAGCAGCACCCAAAGCAAUUUUCAUCCUGACAUCCCAGUUCAGCAUGCCCUUAUCCUUGUCAGCACCUGGACACACAAAGGAUCAGAUUAACACAAAGAGUCAUGCUGAGUGUACACACUCCUAAUCCUAGGCUUACAUGUGGCAGUGAUAAUUAUGAGGUCAAUUUUUGUUUUCUAAGAUAGCUCACUGCUUUCUUUGAGACACGCCACUGGAGAAAGUUCAGAUGUUAGUAGAUUAGUAACGGUAGUUGAUCCUGUUUCAUCCAUGCAGUUUUCUUUACUCAUAUCAUUAAUGAGAUAAUAUUCUGAUCUUUCAAAAAAAGAUAAUAUAGUGCAGCGUUUUGGACCUUUUGGCAUCGGGUUCCAUGGAGCCCAGAAUUUGAAAAUAAACAAAAAUGUUAUUUCAAAGUUCCAAACAGAAGUUGAAAUUGUUUCUACGAGUACAUAUGGAUGUUCUCUGUGUAUAUGUAAAUUUUCCUAAAUAAUAGGAUAUACACAUUAGAAAGUUAGUACAGAUAUACUACACAUCUAUAUACGAUAUACACAUUAGAAACUUAGUACAGAUAUACUACACAUCUAUAUGUGCAAUGCCCAAAAAAGACAAAAAUAAGCCCAUUUUUGUUCAUGUAUUUGUCCUUUUAUAUGCAUCACAUACAAAUAUGUACAUUAAUGAAACUUAGUACAGCUAUACUACACAUCUAUAUCUACACAUAAUCGAGCUAUAAAGUUAAUAUUUUUGAACUUCUCUUUACAGUCCUCCCUAGAGCCCGUCCUCCAAAGCGACUUUCUGAAUUUUGAAAUCUUAUAACAAGAAUAGCAGCUGGUCCUGCCAAUCUAAGCUUAGCUAAAAGAAAUUGUUGGACCAGACUCAUCUAGUCAUUCUACUACCUCCUUUCCGGUUUAUUAGGCCUGCGUGUAUAUCUAGGUUGAGAAGUAGAUCAACGUAAUACAAGUUAUAUAUCACAAAAAAUAUAUCAUUAGAAACUUUAAAUUGUAUACUUUCUAAUGGAUAAUUUUUGGACUAUACAACUCAUCCUAUGUUGGUCAAAUUAUUGAUCUAGGGAUAUGCUCAACAGCGCCAGCCUAAUAAACUGGAAAAGAGGUAGUAUUACGAGAAAAUUGGACGCUUAGUUAAAUAUUUCCAUUUUGGCUGCUAUGCAUUAAUAUAUACGAAUUUCUUGCUAUGGUUUCACUAGUUAAGACUUACCAAACAUAGCAUGUAUUACUAAUACUAGAACAUACCAUGAAGAUGGGAUUCCACACUUCCGUUGCGUAUAAGCUCGUAAACAAGACACCUUUUUGCACGUUCAGUGCAAAUGCCAAUCAAUUUGACGAGAUUACGAUGGUGCAAUCGACUGAGCAUUUCCACCUCCGCGAUGAACUCACGGUCACCACUCCUGUCCUCUCUUGUGAGCAUUUUAACAGCGAUCUCGUUUCCAUCAUCCAUGGUCCCGUGAUAAACACGCCCAAAUCCACCUUGACCCAAAACUCUUCUUGAACUAAAACCAUCAGUAGCCUUUUCAAGCUGUGCAAGCGAAAAUGUCUUCACUGAUGCGGCACAAGUGGCCACUGUUGAGAGCAUUGACGCUGAUGCAGAGCUCACCAAGCUAGUUGACUGAGAUCUGCCACCUGUGUACCACACAUUAGGUCGUUAGCAACUUAGCAUAACUGCCAUUACUAGCGAAUUUUGUUGUGAAACAGGGGGUUAUAGGUUUUAAAAAGUUCAUGUGCCAUGCAUGCAAAGUGACAUUCUUUUUUCACAAUAGGGGGUAACUAACAAAUAUUAAAACGGUUAUUUCCACGCAGAACAUAGGCACAUAGGACAUAGCAUAUGAGAACUCUAGACUAAAAUAUAUAUUUUUAUCAAUUUUAGGAUUCAGACAAAUUUAUAAAAAGAAGUGUCCAAUUGUUCUGCCUCGCCGAUAAGUGUAACUCUGAUUACCAAUAUCUAUGUGGCAAUAGAAUCAUUCAAGUGGAAAUAUUACCCACCAGUAAAUAUUAUAAAUAUCCCUAUUGCCCACAUGAAGAUGAUCUUAACGUGGUUAAAGGGAGAGGUUCCCUCCCUUAAAUGUACAUUGUCAUGUAGAAAUGAGGAACCCUGUGGAGCUUGCUCUAACCAUAGUUUUCGAGUCGACGAGUCGUUCUGGGGUAGCGACUCUUGAAUAGUCGACCCUGCAGAUGCGAGUAGUCAUGACUCGUCGACUAGUCAACACGUUGUUGAGUCGACUUUUUUACGACUCGACUUUUUUUACGACUCAACGACUAGUCCCGACUAGUCGUUCGACUCAAAAACAGGGGCUCUAACCAACUGCCCACUACGUGGUUCUCAAGAUGAUCGUAACAGAUUCUUGUAUAAAGCCGGCAAAUGUCUGUGUGUUGCUAUACUGGGGAAAUUAUACUGUAUAUUCAAGAAUAUCUUUAAUUUCCCCUGCGAAAAAAAGAAUAUCUUUAAUUUUACCAUCUGUGCCAUAUCAAGAUAUUCAUAUAGGCUCCUAACCAUUUGUGUGAAAUCCAACAUGUAAUGUAACCCGAAGGUGAACAGACAAUCACCACCAAUUGGCGGCAUAUUUAUGGGAGUGUAGAUACUUUACAUAGUAUCAUGUUUUUAUGCUUUUAACUAGUGUAUUUUUGUAAGAAAAAUGAUCAAGGUUGUAUCUUGAAGACGAUCUAAAAUAAAAGAAUCAGGAACAAUGCUUUCUUCACUCUUUGGUAACGGGUGUAAGUAGGUAAAUUUGAUCUAUCACGGGAAUAACUGAAAUAUCAUUUGUGCACAGCCAACAAGAACACUCUAUUAAAGGAUUCUAACAUUGCCCAUCAGGUUUCAAAAUAUGUGUACAAUGGUUAAAGUAGCAACAAUAAUAAAUAGCAUACUUAACGACAACAAAAGCUGUCGAUUUUACCAUGUCUUCUUUUAACUGACGGGGUGAUCACAUGGUUCCCAGCUUCAUGAAAGCGCUUAAGUUUCUUCCAUUUUACUAUUAAAAUAAUGAGCGCAAUGCAUGCCACGAUUAGUACCAGAGAGGACCCUGCAACUACCACGAUGAUCCAGCUAUCUAAUUUCUUCUUCUGAUGGUGCACAUCUGCGGUUAUAGGGUAUUCUUCAUUUCCUGGAGGACCUGACGUAAGAGAUGACAUAGCUGGUGGUGCAGGUCCCAGCCCUGCAGUGAUGACAUUGCGCAUCUAAAUCAUAAAUUCAAGUAAAUAACCUAAGAAGCAAAUACUCCACACAGAGGUUUCUUACCUGGAUAGGUAAUAUUUAUAACCUCGUAAGCUCCAAAAACAGAUGAAUUAAUCUGAACCUUUUUAUUCCAGAACCUAUCUGAUAUUAGUGAUGCAGUAUAGCGAUCAAAAUGUUCUCUUAGUGGCACCAAAUAAAAGGUGACUCUUGUCUUCUGGUCAUCUUGGACACUUGGAAUAGCAGCCAUAAUCUUCACUUGGCUCUGUUUAAGAAAGGUGCCAGCUGCAACUUCAACUUCCAAUUCUGCUGUGUGCAUGAAUAGUAAAUAUGGAGCUACAGCAAUGUCAACAAUAACACUAAGGGGCAUCACACAGCCACAGGGGGAACCGAUCGGUGUUGAACUCAAUGGCUCAGUACAAACAGUGCUAGAGCAACCUGCUGAAGGUACCAAAAAAAAAACUAUUCAACACAAAAAGUUACAACAAAACAAACAAGCUUAUACUCUGAUCAACAAUUAGUCUGCAUGUCAAAAGCAGCAGUACUAAAAAGAAUAGUCCAGAGGGAUGGAUAAUAUCUGGGAUUAGGUGAACUAACUCGAGGAUGCAGUAUGAAAUUGUAAACAUAAAUGGCAAACCUUCAGGUGGGAGAGAUAGGGAUGGCGGAGGGGCAUGGUGUGGGCGUCUGUGGUGUUUGUGUGAAUGCACAGCGAUGCCUGUAAGAAUAGCAGAUAUUAAAUAAUUGAUAGUUUAUGGGAAAUUUAAGCAUGAACUUUUAGCACUGACGUUGUCACGGUUACAUACCAGGAGAUCUUGGAGACAGCACUGCAGGAGAAAAUGCCGGGGAAAUUCGAGGUCCAAACACUCUUGCUUCAGGGGGAUUUGACGGAUGUGGCGCUGGACUAGGCUGUAUGUUUGCUGGAGAACGAAAGGUAAUAAGUUUACGUUUGACAGAAACGAAUUGCAAAAAUCUCAUAAGAGAAAAACUUUGACCAACCAUAUGGGUAGCAUCAUGUUCAGAUUAACAUAUACACUUUCAAAUGGUUACUUCAAGAAGCUCAGGCGCACUGUACAAUCGUACAUUUGCAUUUGCGACCUAUAUAGGCAAUGCCCGUUGGCAGUGUCUAUUUCUAAAAUAAGAGCAUAUGAACUGGAAAGGUAAUAAGACAUUUUCUAGAAGUUUUGUUCUGCAUCUGGAAAUGUUUGAAUUCUGCGUAUGUUCUCAAUUUAUCCAAAUUUUACAUCACAGUGACACUUUUUAUUCCUCAUACAUGGAAACAAAACAUGAAAUGCCUUUCCAGCGCAUGCUGCUGCUGUGUCAUGCACUUUUUGGAGUUUUGAGUGAAAGUUAGCAUUUCACUCAAAUUCUAGCAGUUGGUUAGGAGGCACUGGCUUGGGUGAGGUGUGUGCGUGUGGCGGUGUCACUGGUGUGUGUUCACGUGUGCGUCGUCCUUGUAAUCGCCAAAAAAAAGGCUUCAUGGUUGCGAUCCAAAGCUAAGAGCAUGAGAGACACCAAGUGCAAUAACUAUUCCAGAAAGUAACGGUGUUAGUAAUUAACUCCGAGAAUGACACUGAAUUGGUACCCAAACGUGUCCGAUACGUUUUGGCGGGUACCAGAACGUAUUCGAGUAUUCAGACGUAUCUAACCCCUGAUACGCUGGUUUCCUGCCGUAUCCUUGCAACUUAUAGCUGCCAAUCAAGAGGGGUCAUCAUACUACACUCAGCUAUUGUCGAUAGCUUCACCGGGAUGGAAGAAUACAACUAUAAAAUCUAGUACCACAGAUUUAGUUAAGAGAAGAUCGGCAAGUGUUACUUGCAAGCAAAGCAAGUGUUGGCUGACUAUUAAGAGACCAUACUACAUGUCGGAUUCGAACUAUUUAUAGGCGCGCCUUUUACCUUAAGGUUUUGUGCUGUGGUCUCUUGGCUGGUUUUUCACACAGAUGGGCACCCCCCUGUGCUGUUUUACGCGCGCCACAAACCCAAAUUAAACUCAAAAAUGAAUGUACAGGGUCCAGUGUAGUGCUCCAGCGGCAGUGGGAGCACAAACUGUCCACCAGUCCCAUGCCUCCUUGGCAUAAGGAACAAGCAGUGGUAGCCAUUGUCAUCUGUUACUUUCAGGCAUGAAAAAACAAUGUCAGGCUAAAACCGCCUUCCCUCUCACAGACCGUACACAGAGCUCCAGCCGCAUGUACCCACCUUGCUGGAUCCUUCCUCUAGUAGUCAAAACCAUCGAUCAUGGCAGAAUCUAGAAACAAUACUGUCGGGCAUACCUCUGACAGAGAGCAGAAUUCCCCUAAUAAUACACGGCGCUCACGCACACGGACCGACAGAACCCCCACCCGAAGCCCAAUUCCCAGCUUCCCCCAAUCCCCAGAGCACGCGACAGCAACGUCGCAUCUUGCUGCUGCUGCUGCUAUGUCCACCGUCCACUCCACAGGCUAGUGACGAGGAGCUGGAAUUCGCACCGAAAAUGCCGCCCCCACGGGCGCAAGCAACCCCCACGCCCUCACUCCAAACCUAACCCCACCCCACCCGACUCGGAGCGCGCAACACAAGCGCGGGCGCGGCCCCGCCCCGCCCCGCCCCGCCCCGCCCGCCCGAACUCCCCAAACCCAAACCCAACCCAACGAGAGCGCGGUCCGAAACCAAGCAAGCGGAGCAAGGAAGGAAGGGAGCGAGUGGACAAGCAUACCGUGGAGCGCGGAGGCGGCGGCGGGGAGGAGCAGGAGCACCCGCAGCAGGAGGAAGAGGAGCCCUCCGCGGCGGCCCAUCGCGUCCCGGGUGCCCGGCGCGCGCGCUACGCCAUUGCCGUCGCCCGCGCGGCGGAUCUGGGCGCGGCGUCGACGGGGGUCUUAGGUCGGCGAGGCCUGCGGCGAGCGAGAGGAGAGGCGAUGCGAGGGGCGCUGGAGGUGGGGGAGGGAGGGAGGGGGAAGGCAAUAAAUUUUGGGCGCUGGGGUGGGCUGGUUUGCUUAACCUCGGAAGCAAAGCAGAGGAAAGGAAAGGAAGGUGUUAAUUCCCUACUGGAGUUAAUGCGCUCCGCUGCUCAUCCUAAUCGCAGACGCGGGGUUACGAAUCCAUCCAUCCAUCCAUCCAUCCAUCCGGCGAGCCGCGCUUUACCGGUGGCGGGGAGGAGACGGGGGGAAGAGGGAGGGAAGAAGGGACCGACGCGGCUGCGUUGGAGCCUUGCCCCUCUUCCUCUUGGGAUGGGAAGCUCGGGUCGGCCGGUGUCAACGCGGCCAGACCGUCGUCCGUGCACGCUUGGACUGAGACUACUGACACGACAGCCUUUUUAUCCGGGCCGUGCCACUUUGUGUGCGCGAAUCUUGCUUGUUUUUACAUGUUUUUCGGGUAAUGUUGAGUGCUCCCACGACCUUGCUACACACAGCCAAAUUUUAUCCAUGUUUAUUUUUUAUUAUAUUUUUGCGGGUUAUCCAGACGAUGUUUCCGUGUAGCAAAUGAAUGUAUCAUCAGCGGCGAAAAUGGGUACCGAUGUUUUCAGCCCUUACCUUGAUGGUGGAGGGAGGAUGAGGGUGUGGUUAUGGAUUAACGACUUAGAACAAUGUACUUGUAUAAUUGAAUGAUAAUGUUGAAUUGCAUUACCGUCAAUGCAUGAUUAACCAUGUACUCCCUCUGUUUCAAAAUAAGUGUCAUUGAUUUUACAAGGGUAUCAUCGUUGUGGUACUAUAUAUUUUAUUCCCGCUAUCUGUGGUUAUUAGCAUGUUAUUUACUCGAGACGGGGCCAUAAAUUGGACUCUUCUCACGUCUCGGUGUGCUUGAUUGGAUGCAUCAAAUGAAACGUAAGGGAACGGUCCUGUUAGUUGGGCCGAUCCCGGUGUUCGGUGAGGUGGUUCCGCUAAAGGGAAUAUUCCCCUCGUAUGCGGAACCACAUGGGUAACGCCAAUUUGGCCGAACGACUCGAAUCAUCGCUUACACAUCCGUGCACACGUCGGCAUGUGACGUCUGGCCUUGGCAUUCGGUCACCGCAAUGGAGGAAAAAACCAAGCCUUUCUCCCCUCAGCCUCCAACGCAUCUGUUUGACCUCAAAAGUUUGUAAUGCCCCCGUGUUCGCCGCUUACCUUGAGAAGGAAGGGUGAGUGGGUAAGGCAGGGGCGACGUUGCAAUUAUGGAUCGACGACUUGGAGCAUGGCUAGUUAGGGCUCCUUUGAUUCAAAGGAAUUCUAUAGGAUUUCUGAAGGAUUGAAAUCCUUAAGAAUUUUUCCUAUGUUGGUCCUUUGAUUCAUAGGAUUGGAUCCCAUAGGAAUUUUUCCUAUGGAAUCUUUUGUGCUACAUUUCAUAGGAAAUCUAACAUCCACUCCAACCUCUUUUUACAAUUCCUUUGCUUUUCAUGUGCCAUCAAACACUCCAUGCUAAUCCUGUAGGAUUCAUGUGUGCAUGCCACUCCAACCAUAUACUUUUUCUAUUCCUACGAUUUGAAAAUCCUGCGAAUCAAAGAGGGCCUUAGUAUAGGGUAAAGUUUGUAAUGCCACCUCGUUCGCCGCUUACCUUGAGAAGGAAGGGUGAGUGGGUGGGGUAGGGGCGAUGUUGCAAUUAUGGAUCGACAACUUGGAGCGUGCCUAGUUAGUAUAGGGUAAGUCAAACAUGUAACGGGGCUGGCGUGCCUUCAUCACACGUGUGACAACAUAACGUUAACCUAAACCAUUAAGUUUGCUUCCCUAAAACAAUCAGACUAAUGUAUUUUGGUAUGACAACAUUUUCCAGGUGAUAUUUUGUAAGAUACUAGAAAAUCCACCUCAUUAUGAAAUAUAUAUCGUGUUCAGAUCUAAAUUGGAAUGCUUUUAUUAUUUUGUUGAGGGCCUCUCGCAUUGGUACUUCAGUCGCGAAGGAAAUAGUUUCCUUUUAUAAUUAUAUCGGGAGAUUCCAUACACACGAAGCUACUUUUGUGUGUGGUGCAAUACGAAUAUUGUCAUAAUUUAUUCGAUGGGCUUUGUAGUUUGUAUAUGCUUUUUACACAGGGGGGAGGCUAUUCUUUUAGUCUCUGCAUGCAUCCUGGCUCUAGCAAAAGAUAAAUUUUAUCCAUACGACACUCAAGACGUUAAUGUUGAACGGUUUGUGAAAGGAAAAAAGGCACNNNNNNNNNNNNNNNNNNNNNNNNNNNNNNNNNNNNNNNNNNNNNNNNNNNNNNNNNNNNNNNNNNNNNNNNNNNNNNNNNNNNNNNNNNNNNNNNNNNNNNNNNNNNNNNNNNNNNNNNNNNNNNNNNNNNNNNNNNNNNNNNNNNNNNNNNNNNNNNNNNNNNNNNNNNNNNNNNNNNNNNNNNNNNNNNNNNNNNNNNNNNNNNNNNNNNNNNNNNNNNNNNNNNNNNNNNNNNNNNNNNNNNNNNNNNNNNNNNNNNNNNNNNNNNNNNNNNNNNNNNNNNNNNNNNNNNNNNNNNNNNNNNNNNNNNNNNNNNNNNNNNNNNNNNNNNNNNNNNNNNNNNNNNNNNNNNNNNNNNNNNNNNNNNNNNNNNNNNNNNNNNNNNNNNNNNNNNNNNNNNNNNNNNUUAAAAUAUUUAGAGAUAGACAACAUUAUACAAAUGAGUGGACGGUAGCGGUGAAAAUUGGUACCACACAUUCACCCAUACCCUAAGGAGAGAAGAUGAGGGGGUUAUCAAUUUCAAUUUGAAUGAAAUGAAAUUGGAAGGCCCGCGCCUUAAUUCGAAAAGAAAAUUGCGGGGAAAGAAGAACAGUAUUGCGCAUACGGCCGGCGAUGGUCAAGGCCUCAAGGGCCGAGCCGGUGGUCCUGUCCGAUACCGACGUUGCGACGACUUCGGCGCCAGGAAAACUGCGCCCAGCGGGGCCUCGUGCUGGCUCGUGACUUCGCUCGCUCCUCUGUGACUGACGAACGUCGCGCGGGCUGGCUUGGGGUCGGUGGCGCCGUCCAACUCGUCUCUCAGGUGGGCCGGGCAAAUGUGAGCCUGCUCCACUGCCGUACUUUUCUUCUCCAUAUAAAGUCCAUCCAGAUUUUUUUUUGAAAUUCAUGUGGAAGUUGUUCAGUUCCAAAGAGUGACCGAAUCCGGCCAUCACCCACUCUCGCGGCACGCUGGCAGUGAUCCAAUCCUUUGCCUCAUUCUCGACAGUUGCAACGAUGAUAGUCGGCAUUGUUGACUUGCUGCACAAGGCCCUAGCAUUCCGCUCGUUCCAUAACUCUAGGCGAAUUGCAUACUACAAUGUGCAGCAAUUUCUCUACGCCAUAUCGCCAAAAUUAUAUUAUUGAGGAACGACCAAGCGGAGAGGAGAAUUUGCACUUGGGAGGCACACGGCUGCUUGGAAACGUCGUCUUCACGACAACGGAGGCUUACUAAUGGAACUAGGCCUUCCCCUUGCAGUAAGCCUCCAAACAAUGUCACCAGCGAUGCCACCCCGGAGUUGCACUCACCACCGGAAGCUUGUGAGAACCCGCCCAUAGGAAGGCACGCUCAAACUUCUCAACUGCACACAGCAUCCAGAAGGACAAAGGGCGUGUCAUCUCUGAGGUCCAUUUGCAAGUUGUGUGAGUUGCUAGUUCGUAUUGGCCUUCAUAAAAGUAACUUGAAAUGGUAUUUUUAUUUUCACAAUGAAUUCAUGAGAAAUCCAACAAAUAUGAUUUGUUACACCUGUUCAAUUUCACUCACAACUGCUUCCAGUACUAUUGGUAGACAUGCUUCACCCUUUCCUGCUACAUUCCGGCAAAGUCAAAAGAAACAUAACAUAUGAGGCAUUGUGAGCAACAUAGUGGCAACAUAUUCUCUCUCUCUAUUUGACAGGAAGGAAAAGGGCAACACAUUUGUAACCGGCCGAGCUCCGCACUUCAAAUCCCUUUACGAAUGACCUAGGCAAUUUUCCAGGGCAACGAUUUGCUUUGAUUGCAGCGAGACUGAAGUAGGUCUCGCCUCAAGGGCGCCUCGGGUAGGUACUAUUGGACCGGCCUAGUAGUGUUUUCUUUUUUUAUUUGAUUUCCAUUUCCGUGUUUGAGAUAUUCUAAAUACCUCAAAACUUAAUUUACUUAAAAAUAAACUGUAGCAAAAAAACAGAAAUGGGAACAUGGUGUAAUAUUUUAUUAGCGUAAUGUUAAAAGAAUGUUUACGCAUUAAGAAGAAAAUGUUCAUGCCAUUUUAUAAAACUUUAUACAGUGUAAAAAAUGUUAGUGUAGUUUUAAUUUUUUUUACCAUAGAAUUCAAAAAUAAACGUGACAUUUAUAAAAAUACUCACAUGUUUCAAAAAUAUCUUCAUGACAUUUAAAAAAAUGUUUAUCCAUUGUAAAAAAUAUUCACAUAAUUUUCAAAAAAUUCAUAUCAGUCAUAAAAAUGUUUAACAAGUUUUUGAAAUUAUUUAAUAUGCAUUCAAAAAAUCCAACGAAUUUUAAAAACUGUUUCUUGUGUAUUAAACAAAGGCCCAAACUUGUAACUGUAAAAAUGUUCAAACGUGCGUAAAUAAUGUUCUACAUGUAUAAAAAUAUAUAACUUGUAUUAAAAGAAGUAGACAUGUGUUUACAAAAAGAAAACAGCCAACACUUAAAAAAUCAUAGACAACCGAAAAACGAAACAAAUUGCAUGAAAAGUUAUAGAACCGGUCUAAAGAACAUUCCCGUAACUAUAUUAAUGGGCCUGCAACUAAAGCGACCUCCCAUCCAGCAUCAGAGGCGACGCAGAGCACAGGAGCUAGGGGCUAGUUUGGUUUGUGUCCAUGCCACAAUAUGCCUUGCCUGGCAUGUGCCUGGAACGUGCCUGAUAACCGUUUGGUUGGUGCCUGGAAAGAAAAAUUGCCGCCUCGCUUGGCCCUCCCAAGCAACUGCAUUAGCCUGGCUCCAUCAAAUAAAAUGGCUCACUGAUUCAAUAUUUUUAAAGGCUAAGGAGGCAACUGCAGGCAAGAAUCAAUCCAAAUACUUCAAGCCCAGGCUGGCCUGGCCAGGCACAAAUCAACACCAACUCAGGCCCAGGCCAGGUGCUAGUUUUUCUCCAGGCACAAAGCCAGGUCACCAACCAAACCAGCUCUAUAUCUCGCUUGUAGCGAGAUACAUGCUCCCCUUGUCUGAAGUUUUUUCUCCCUCGCACAGGUAUUGGGCCGGCCAUUUUUUUCCCGCUUCCAGGCGAAUCGCUCGGGUUUCGAUCGAAGAACUCGUUAGCUGUAGUUUUUCGUUGGUUUUCUAUGGGUUUUACUUUUCAUUUUUUUCUAUUGUUUUUGUUCGGCCUUCCUUGUAUACUCCCUCUGUAAAGAAAUAUAAGAGCGUUUAGAUAACUAAAGUAAUGAUCUAAAUGCUCUUAUAUUUGUUUAUAUAGAGGGAGUACUUUUUUUCAAAUAUAUGUUUUGAUGUCUAUUGUUUUCAUGCACAUUGUACAUUUUUUAUAAACAUCUAAAAUAUCUUUUAUAUAAGUCAUAGCAAUUUUUUCCAAAUAUAUGUUUUUAUGUCUACUUUUUCCAUGUAGUUAUAAUUUUUUUUGAUACAUGUUUAAAAAUAUUAAAUCACAGGAGCAUUUUGGUACAUAGUAUAAUUUUUCUUAAAUCAUUGUACAGGUUUUAGAACGUGUGAACAUUUUGUUAAAGUCGUCAACACUAUUUUAAAGUUAUGCUAACAAAACAUUUUCACUGCAUUAACAUUUUCUAAACUCUCAUUUAUAAAUAUUUUGAAGUGAAAUAAGUUUUGGAGUAUAUGUAUCUUAAGGCCGCGUUCGGCUCCUCUCCGCUCCCUGGACCGCGCUCCCGGAGCGGAUCAGUCUCUAGCUAAUUUUCAAGGAGCAGCUAAAAUCGAGCUCUACAACUCCACAUAGUCAGCUCUACGGAGGGAUCCCGAACAGGGCCUAAAUAUAUUUGGAAACAGAAACAUAAAUAACUAACUUGAAAGUUGGGUCGGCCCAUUACUUGCGGUUGGGAAUAUUGAGUAGUCCCAUCAGUGCAUCCUUGAUGUGAGUGUAGGUAGGUCACGCUCUAAGCGAGACAAAGUCUGAAGUCACCAAUUAAGGGUUACCCCUCGAAAAUUCACUGCACACCUUCUUAGGUGUCGAUAAGUGGGCGCACUACAUAUGCGUCACUUGUCACAAUCUGAGAGUUUUUUUUUAUAAAUUCAUUUGUACAAAAUGUUUUAUCUUUCAAACCGUGCACCCAAAUACAAUAUUGUUUUCACCGUUUGAUUUCUUGCGACGAGACCUUUGAAACUAGAUCCAAUGUUAAUAAAUUUCGACAAAAAAAUCUUGUAGAAAACGGACAUACAACAUGAAGACAUAAUGCACAAGUGUGUAAAUUUUCAGGACAAAAAUACAUUGGAAUGAGGGUUGUGCAAAAACAAAAUGAGGCUUUUUGACACAUGAUACUAUUCAUCCUCCCAGAGCAUUAAUUUGUCUUUUUGUAUACCCCCUCCUUCCAUCUAUAGGGCCAAAUGCGUUUUUCGAGACUAACUUUGACCAAAUGUUAGAGCAAUAAUAUAUGGCAUGCAACUUACACAAAGCAUACCAUCAAAUUUGUAUGUGAAAAGAGCUUGCAAUGAUAUAAUUUUCACAUUAUACAUCUCAUGUACCAUUAAUAUUAUCAAUAGUCAAAGACGGUCUUGAAAAACACAUUAUACCCUAUAUAGAUGGAAGGAGGGAGUAGCUCACAUUGCAACGUAUUUCAUCUUAAAAAAAUUCACACAUACACCUCACAUCCUUGUUUACUUAUCCAAAAUUUUGAGAUUAUUUUGAAACCAUGAAAUUUCGAACUUUUUGUAAAACACCAUACUCCUAUCCUAAAAAGAAGAAGUAACCACACUAUAUGGUCGAACAACGCGGAGCGCGGAGUGGAUUUGGAAACGCUGACAAGAAGUACGCCGGCGACGUCCGUCCCAGUCCAAAAUGAAGACGGUCCCUAUCACCAUAAGUAGCAGCAGCAGCAGCAGCAAGAGCGGUACAGUGCUAGUAGCUGAGCGCCUGAGUAGCAGCAGGGAGAGGCUCGGCGAGUAGCUAUAGCCCGCCGUGGUGCUGCCAGCAGCUGCUGCUGCCAUUGCCAUUGCCAGUAAGUACGUAUCAUCGUAGCAGCAGCGGCAGGCUGACGGCGACAACCGAAGCACGUACGGCAAGCAAGAGCAGCGAGCAGAUGGCCAAAAGCUAGCAACACUGUGACUGUGCGAGACGUGCUCCUAGGACUUGACGAUAUACGUCUCCUACUGCUGCUUUGUACUGCACCGGUGCUCGUGUCGUGUGUUGGUUCCAAGUGAUAAACCGAAAAGCACACUUGGCCAGCGUCCACUCCAUUGCUCUCCGCUGCAGGAAGCAAGCAAAGAAAGCAAUGGAGCAGACACAAAGCAGUCCGCCAAAGCUGCCGGCCACGUCCAGUGUGGCGCCCGCGAACUAAUCUAUCAACAAUCGAGCGUGUGCGUGCAGAGCCUUUUCGAUUGCACUGUACUAGUACCUACUACUCCCUCCGUUUCGAAUUACUCCCUCUGUCCGGAAAUACUUGUCGUAAAAAUGAAUACAAAUGAAUGUAUCUAGAACUAAAAUACAUCUAGAUACCUUCAUUCCUUGGACAAGUAUUUUCGGAUGAAGGGAGUACUUGUCUUAGAUUUGUCUAGACACAGAGGUAUAAGAUACAUCCGUAUCUAGAUAAAUCCAAGACAAGUAAUUCGGAACGGAGGAAAUACUAGCGCGUUGAUACGAGAUAUGCCUACUCAUUUUUCUACUAUAUGAGGUGUAUGCGCGGCAGUUUUCUGUUGCACGUUUUCUUUCCAUCUCUAGUCGCGCAUGGUGAGCGUCUAGGCGUGCGGGCGGUGGUAGUUCACGAGAGCCGCUCACGUGCACCGGCCGGGUGGCGGUACACAAUACUGCAAGAGCCGGUCACGUGCACUGGCCGCCCGGGCAGGCCAGCGGCCGAUCCGGUGAGCUCACUCGGCCGGCACCCUACCUCAGAGUCUGGCAUGCUCAUAUUUUCUCCUCCCUCCCACUCCCAUUCCGUCCCACCUACGGUGGCAUGUGCGCGCGCGGACGCACGCACGCAAAAGAUACACCGCCCAUUUCUGGGUCUCUCUGUCCCGAAAGCCAGCGGCUCCAAAGUGGAACCCGUCCGGCCGGCCGGCGGGCAUCGCCUCGCUGUCAUCAUCGCACACGACGCACGGAGGCGUACGUUGGCAUGGAUAAUGGGGCCCGUCCAGCUUUAAUCCCAAAAGCCAAACAGUCUACCUUGUAGCAUUGCAGCUAGUUAGAGGUCUGAGCCUCUGAGGCCCUGAGCUUGCUGUCAGUGCUCUCUGGCAUGUGUCAAAUGGCGCUUAUGCCCCCGACCCCCCUCUCUCCUGCUGGCUGCUACGAGGCGGCCUACGGCCAAGGAGAGAGGAGUAGGAGACGAGAGGGAAAGGGGUGGCAGCAGGCGGAGCCAGGCCUCGCUGCCUUUCCACGCGCUGGCUCGCGCCCUCUCGCUUGACCGUUGCCCACAUGAAUUCCCGACCCCACCGCCAUGGCCCGCAUGUCAUCGUCGUGGCCUGGCCGCCCGGGGCUACUGGAAAAGGGUUCUACAGUAUAGUACUACUAGAAAGGAUGGAAGAGUGUUUGUUCCUAGAAACAGGAGCACGCCAAGCGAUAGAGCCAGCCGGAUGUUGGUUGAGCACGCCGGGAGGCCAACAGAGCCAGCCGGAUGCCGCCACGCGCCCCGACGCCGGAACUAAAACGUUUCCGUGUUGUCGGCCCCGCGGCCCCGGCCGGUCCCAUCGUCUCGUCUCUAUGGAGUUGCACCAACCUCGGCAACCACACGGCGCGGCCUCCGGCAUGCAUGCAUGCAUGGCCAUCGGCAUGGGCGCCGUGGCAGACGGCGCACAGACCGACCACUCGGUGCAGUAUAAGGUGGUGUUUGUUUUUCUAGUCCUAAAAUUUUUUCUAGUCCUUAAGACUUUUUAAAAAAGACUCUUAAGAAGGUGCUUCUAAGGGGGUGUUUGUUUUCAGGGACUUUUUUGUUUAGGGACUAGAAAAAGUCCCUCUUAGAGACUUUUUUAUCAAACGGGAGGGACUUUUUAGGGACUAAACUAGUCAUUUGAGACUAAAUGAAAAAGACUCUCAAAAAGAGUCUUUUUGGAGACUUUUUGGGACUUUUCCAACAAUGUCCCUCCAUGCAUUCAAUGGCCCGAUGUCCCACAGUGUUGUUUGAUUAUUAUUUUUCUAUAUACUAGGGGCAACAUGGUCAUUUAAUAACCUCUAUGAAGGGACUAAGGACUUUUUAGUCUCUGGAAACAAACAUGAAGGGACUUUUUAGGGACUAGUGACUUUUUAGUUGAGACUAGGAAAAGUCCUAAGACUUAUGAACCAAACAGGGCCUAAGGACUUUUUGCAAAAAGUCCCAAAAAAAUUCCACCCUAUUUGGUUUGCUAGGGACUUUUUUCUAGUCCGGACACAAAAAAAAAUCCCUUAAACCAAACACCCCCUAAACAUGAAUCCAAACCCUUCAGCUUGACAGCUUCAGGCGUCCUCCCUGUCCGCUGCACGUCGGCGGUACGAGCGAGCGAGCGGGUACUGGCAAAUGACCGGUCGCCGGAGCCGUUCCUCGCCGUGGUACGGCCGGAGUGACGGCACGAUCGGUGGCCGGCAGGGGCGUCGUGUUCGGUCGCAUGCAACGACCUCAUUUACGCCUGCGUACCUUGUGUCGUGUUCAAUGGUGCUGCGAUCGACCUUGGUGGGACGCAACACUGGUCACCGCGUCAGCGCUGCAGCAGGGCGGUGCGUGUUCGAGCAGUGCCGGCCGUCGGAGUACCACGCUAGGGAUCGAAGCGGCUUUUUUGUCCGUUGCCAAAUACCGACGCGGGUGCCGCAGCUGCACGCCGUGUUCUUGCACGUACUAGGUUCACCAAUUCCUUUCAUCUUUCCCCGCAAAAAAAAGAACACCUUUCGUCUUGUAUGGUACGUACGGGGCAGCAUUUGUCCUGACGCGAACACGUUAAAUGUGCUUUUGUUUCGUAGCCGUCCACUAAUCCGCACGGUUGUUUCGACGCUAAUCCAUUUGUAUGACCCACUCCUGGACCUGGACGAGACACACGGGGGCGGAGCAGACGUGAAGCGGGACCCUGCUGCAAUACGACCGACGCGACCGAUGUGCACGUACGUACACUUGCACCAUGCACCAUUUUGUUCCUUAAAAAAAACACGUCCGUCCCAGCCCGUAGGCAUGCAUGCAUGCAUGCAGCUGCCCCCUGCUGCUCUCCUGCUGUAGCCAAGUAACCAACCCUGUGUCUCCGCUGCCGUGUUCAUUGCUCUCCUGCAGUAGACCGUGUUUUUUUUGGCCUCACCUUCAUCGCCUAAAUCCUGGCUCCGCCCCUCUAACCAACCCUGUGUCUUUCUCUGUUGCACGCACGCGGCAGGCCCUGCAUUGUUUAUCACGACGCGAAGGAAGCCAAGCACGCCGCACAGCUCCACACGGUCCAAGCGAAACCGACUCGCGGCUUUUCCUUCGGACGUGGACGGUCCGGUGCGCCCAUGUUGAUUUCUGAUUAUGACAGAGAAGUUUGAGCUGCGGGCGGCGAGGCCACGACGGCAACGACGACUCCGCGGUGCCGGCGAUCUUUCGGAUGUUUGCCUUGGACUAGGUCGGUGGCUUGCAACUUUCUUAUGUGAAGUUCGUUAUCAAAAUCGGAGCUGCCUUGUUCUCAAGAAGGGAGCGACUAAACGCCAGGUGACUGAAUCUAAAAUUUGAGUCAGUCACUUUUUUUCUUUAACAACUAGCUAACCACAGACAGGAGCUACUCGAGGGAAAAGGCAGCCAUGGUGCCCAGCCCAUGUGCGAAAAAUUAUACUGUCAAUAUGUGCAGUCCCACACUGCAUGAGUACGUACGACGUUGGCUCGCUUCGCCAAUAUCCCCUUCGUAAACUAAUAUAAAAACAUUUAAAUAACUAUUUUAGUGAUGUAAACGCUCUUAUAUUAGUUUACAGAGGGAGUACUGAAUAUCCUUGGUUCACACCAACGAUCUGUCAAGUCGGCUACUAUUAGCUAGCUAGUUCGAACCAGCUGAUCAGUCCAACAUGCAACUGCAAGACUGUAUAAUCAGCUAAACUACACUAGCAAGCAACACUGCACAGGCACAUGCAAGACUUUUUUUUCUGCGUUCUCCUCUAGGCUGGCCGGCCUAGUUUUCAUUUUUCAUUCUCGGCCACUGCGGCCAACUAUUUUACACAAAAAAACGAAUGAUUAUGCAUGCGUACAACAGCUCCAAGUGUACGUGGGUAAGUGAUCAACGAAAUGAAUAAAGUAGAACCUACUAUAUAGAUACACGCAUGUGCUAAAAAUCAUAUCUAAAUUGUAUAAUCUCUCAACUUUCUGGCACAUCCUGUAGUAAUCGAAUGCAAUAGAGCACGAAAAUAAUCACAGUCCAACAAAAGAAAAUAACUUUUCCAAGAAAGAAUGAGCUAGUGGCAUUGGUAUUACCCUCCAAAAAAAGGAAAGAAAAAACCAAAUAAAAUAAAGACAAAAAUUGCACACAGUUUACAGACAAAUUGCGCUUAUUCAUAAUGUGCAAGAAUAAACUGAAAGUUUCCAAAAA